UAAGAAAUAGUUUAAAUAGAAUUGUUGACUGUUAAUCAAAAGGUGAUUUCUUAA
rnacentral:tRNA from 1 species